rnacentral:misc_RNA from 1 species
GGAAGGAAACAGAGAGAAAGGGUUUUGUCAGCGCGGGGAGAGAGAUGGAUGGAAAGGGGAGAGAGACAGGAGAAAGUUAAAAAACACGCAAAUGGAAAGAAAAAGAAAGCUGCAGCAGCUGCUUAUCACUCAGUAGAUUUAUCUUUCUCUCCUUCUCUCAUCCACACGGGCGCUAAGUCAGUUUGGAAAAACUAAAUUAAUAAAUAAAGCCGUUUCUCUUUCUCUCUCUAUCCGGCCCCUUCUUUCCUUUAUGGUUUCUCUCUGAAACGGAGUUUGGUAGAGGGGGCGGCCGACUCCCUCAACUCGGACCGAGUUAUGGGUUGUUGCCAAUCUUUCUUCUUUCGAGUAACUGCCUCCCAGGAAAAAGCCUACCUUCAUCAGGCGCAGAAUCACCACCCUUCUCAACCUGCCAACGGCAAGGACCCUGCCUCUGCUGCCUCCUCAGGUCUCCGUGGUUUCAUCGAGUUUUCUCUCGCUGACCUAAAAGCCGCCACCAAUAACUUUAGCCCUGAGUUCAUCGUUUCGGAAAGCGGUGAAAAGGCUCCCAAUGUCGUCUAUAAAGGCCGCCUGCAGAACCAGGAUAAUCGCACUUGGAUCGCUGUCAAGAAAUUCACGAAACUUGCCUGGCCCGAUCCCAAACAAUUCGCAGAUGAGGCAUUGGGUGUUGGGAAGUUGAAGCACAAGAGACUAGCUAAUUUGAUAGGGUACUGCUGCGAUGGGGACGAGAGGUUGCUGGUGGCAGAGUACAUGCCCAAUGAUACUCUUGCGAAACAUCUAUUUCACUGGGAGAAUCAAACCAUUGAGUGGGCCCUGCGGUUAAGAGUUGCUCUGUACAUUGCUGAAGCUUUAGAUUAUUGUAGUUCUGAAGGUCGUCCACUGUACCAUGAUUUAAAUGCUUAUAGGGUUCUUUUUGACGAGGUAGUGCAACUUAUCUCUUUUUCUUGACCUCUAAGAUUCAUUUUGCCUAGUCUAUACAAAAGUUGGUAAUUCAGUAACCGAAGUUUUUCAUUCUGUUUUUUAUUAGUUGAAAAUAUCUGGUUUUGUUAAGCUAUUUUCAUCCGGAGGAUCUGUUAGUUUCUAUAAGAGCAAAGUGGUAACUUAGUGGACGGUUUUGGCAGAAUGGAGACCCUCGUCUUUCAUGUUUUGGCUUGAUGAAAAAUAGU